UGGGAUGGCCGAGUGGUUAAGGCAGUGGACUUAAGAUCCCUUGGGGUGUAUCCCCACGUGGGUUCGAACCCCACUCCCA
rnacentral:tRNA from 1 species